AUCGGAGCCAGACAAAGGCGGCGGCCAAGGCAAAGGCUUCAAAGCAACAGGUUCUUGAAGAUAUCAGGAAAAUCAAAGCUUUAGAAUUGGAAGAAUCCAAGAAGUAUGCCACAGCAAGUGAUCUGGCAUGUAUUCCAGGACGUCGUCGUCGUAAGGACCAAACCCAGGACUGUAUAUUAUGCUCAAUCGAUAGAAGCUUUAAAAAUAUCUUUCAACAUCUGGAAAAUGC